UAAACAUUGACAGUUAAUUACACCCACUGUCCGCCUGGGAACUACGAGCACCAGCUUAAAACCCAAAGGACUUGGCGGUGCUUUAGACCCACCUAGAGGAGCCUGUUCUAGAACCGAUAAUCCCCGUUAAACCUCACCCUUCCUUGUCAUUUCCGCCUAUAUACCACCGUCGCCAGCUUACCCUGUGAAGGCCCCAAUAGUAAGCGCAAUCGGCAAUGCCCAAAACGUCAGGUCGAGGUGUAGCGAAUGGAAGGGGAAGAAAUGGGCUACAUUUACUGACACAGUAAAUACGGAUGACUACCCUGCAACGAGUGUCUGAAGGAGGAUUUAGCAGUAAGCAAAAAGCAGAGUGUUUUGCUGAAAUUGGC
rnacentral:rRNA from 1 species